rnacentral:rRNA from 2 species
ACGGGUGAGUAAUGCCUAGGAAUCUGCCUGGUAGUGGGGGACAACGUUUCGAAAGGAACGCUAAUACCGCAUACGUCCUACGGGAGAAAGCAGGGGACCUUCGGGCCUUGCGCUAUCAGAUGAGCCUAGGUCGGAUUAGCUAGUUGGUGAGGUAAUGGCUCACCAAGGCGACGAUCCGUAACUGGUCUGAGAGGAUGAUCAGUCACACUGGAACUGAGACACGGUCCAGACUCCUACGGGAGGCAGCAGUGGGGAAUAUUGGACAAUGGGCGAAAGCCUGAUCCAGCCAUGCCGCGUGUGUGAAGAAGGUCUUCGGAUUGUAAAGCACUUUAAGUUGGGAGGAAGGGUUGUAGAUUAAUACUCUGCAAUUUUGACGUUACCGACAGAAUAAGCACCGGCUAACUCUGUGCCAGCAGCCGCGGUAAUACAGAGGGUGCAAGCGUUAAUCGGAAUUACUGGGCGUAAAGCGCGCGUAGGUGGUUUGUUAAGUUGGAUGUGAAAUCCCCGGGCUCAACCUGGGAACUGCAUCCAAAACUGGCAAGCUAGAGUAUGGUAGAGGGUGGUGGGAAUUUCCUGUGUAGCGGUG